ensembl:snRNA Gm24805 U6 spliceosomal RNA
GUGUUUGGCCCAGCAGCACAUAUACUCAAAUUGAACUGAUUCAGAGAUUAGCAGGGCCCCUGUGCACAGAUCACAUACAAAUUCAUAAAACGUCCCAUAUUUUA